rnacentral:rRNA from 1 species
UACGGGGGGGACGAGUGUUCUUCAAUCAGACUGGGCGUACAGCGUCUGUAGGUGAAGAAGCGUGUGUUUAAGUUAAAAGAUUAUCUCGUAAGGAUAAAAGGUACUUAAAGACUGCUUCUUUAGAUGUUUUGUAAAGGUUUGCUUUAUUACUUCAAUAGUGUUAAAAUGCUUAGACAGAAGUAGGAGAGCGUGUGGCGAAGGCAGCAAACUAGACAAGACUGACACUUUAGGACUAAAGCGUGGGGAGCGAUCGGG